rfam:Anabaena sp. 90 chromosome chANA01, complete sequence.
GGGUGUGUAGCUCAGUGGACUAGAGCACGUGGCUACGAACCACGGUGUCGGGGGUUCGAAUCCCUCCUCGCCCA